UACGAAGGGGGCUAGCGUUGUUCGGAAUUACUGGGCGUAAAGCGCACGUAGGCGGAUAUUUAAGUCAGGGGUGAAAUCCCAGAGCUCAACUCUGGAACUGCCUUUGAUACUGGGUAUCUUGAGUGUGGUAGAGGUGAGUGGAAUUGCGAGUGUAGAGGUGAAAUUCGUAGAUAUUCGCAGGAACACCAGGUGGCGAAGGCGGCUCACUGGACCACAACUGACGCUGAGGUGCGAAAGCGUGGGGAGCAAACAGG
rnacentral:rRNA from 1 species